UACGUAGGGUGCAGGCGUUAAUCGGAAUUACUGGGCGUAAAGCGUGCGCAGGCGGUUUCUUAAGUCAGAUGUGAAAGCCCCGGGCUUAACCUGGGAACUGCGUGUGAUACUGGAUGGCUUGGAUGUGGGAGAGGGAUGCGGAAUUCCAGGUGUAGCGGUGAAAUGCGUAGAUAUCUGGAGGAACACCGGUGGCGAAGGCGGCAUCCUGGACCAUUAUUGACGCUGAGGAGCGAAAGCCAGGGGAGCAAACGGG
rnacentral:rRNA from 1 species